GUGCCAGCAGCCGCGGUAAUACGGAGGUGGCAAGCGUUGUUCGGAUUUAUUGGGUGUAAAGGGCAUGUAGGUGUCCUAGUAAGUUCUGAUUGAAAUCCUUCGGCUCAACCGAAGAACGUGUCAGAAUACUGCUGGGAUUGAGUGCGGAAGGGGAGAACGGAAUUCCCGGUGUAAGGGUGAAAUCUGUAGAUAUCGGGAGGAACACCAGUGGCGAAGGCGGUUCUCUGGUCCGCAACUGACACUGAAAUGCGAAAGCUAGGGGAGCAAACAGGAUUAGAUACCCUGGUAGUCC
rnacentral:rRNA from 1 species